UACAGAGGUCUCAAGCGUUGUUCGGAUUCCUUGGGCGUAAAGGGUGCGUAGGCGGCGCGGUAAGUCGGGUGUGAAAUCUCGGAGCUUAACUCCGAAACUGCAUUCGAUACUGCCGUGCUUGAGGACUGGAGAGGAGACUGGAAUUUACGGUGUAGCGGUGAAAUGCGCAGAUAUCAGGAGGAACACCGGUGGCGAAGGCGGGACUCUGGGCCGAUACUGACGCUGAGGAGCGAAAGCGUGGGGAGCAAACAGG
rnacentral:rRNA from 1 species